UCACAAAAAUGGUUAAUGACAGGCAAGACAACUGGGAUGUUUAUUUAAAGCCUGUGUUUUUUUCACUGCGAUCAAAAAUCCAUACAACAACUAAGGUCACACCAUUUAUGAUGAUGUAUGGGAGGGAGGCAGUGUUUCCCUGUCAGGUUCCUGUUGACCUGCCGCUUUCCAGCAUAAUUCUCCCAGAUGCGAGCACUUACGGACUUGGCAGUAGAGGAAAAGAAGAAAGUAAUGGAGCUUAAGAAGGAUGUGGCCACAAAGAAUAUUGCAGUGAGCCAGGACUAUCAGAGGGAGGCUUAUGCCAGGAAAUGCCUCAAAAAAUACAAGAACUGUAUUUACAAUGUUGGGGAUGAUGUCCUCCUUUUUAACAUGAGGAAACGGGGGAGGAAAGGAGGCAGAAUUGAGCCCGACUUCUCUGGACCUUAUAUAAUCAAGGCUAUAACUGGCAAGCUUGUCACCCUCUCUAGUCCUGAUGGCAGUACUUUAAAAACUAAGUACAGCCUCAGUCACUUAAAGCCAUAUCGAAAGAGCCAGAAAUCUGUGGCUGCACCUAUGCCUGAAGAGCUGGAGUCCUCCCUCCCUGAGCCCCAACGCAAAUGUGAGAUGAUAGAAGAUGUACCCCUUCCACAGAGACCUUCCGUCAUCCAUUUUGCCCCAAAGAGAUGCCUUGAGACCGACAUAAUGAAG